UGUGGUAGCAUAUUCACUAGGUUGUUACUAUGAAUUUUGUAUGAAUGAUUUAUCAAGAGAAAAACCGUCUUUAUAUUAAAGUUUGAAUUAACUUUUAAGUGAAAAGGCUUAAAUAUUCUAAAGGGACGAUAAGACCCUAUAAAACUUUACCUUACUUGUUAAUAUUUUAUUUAAUUUUGUCGCAUCACGAUACAAAUUUAAUUUUUUGUUAUGUUGGGGAGACAAAAUCUAUAAUUUAUAUUAACUGCUUGAAGAGAUUUCAAUAAUUUACUGCCCACCUUGUUAUACACCCCCUCCACACACUUAAAAGACCCCUUUACUUUAAGGAUCACCCCGUUUUUUUUUUUGACCUCUCAUUCCUAAAAAAUUCAUUUUUACUUC
rnacentral:rRNA from 1 species